GAAAACAGCAGGGCCUGCGUUUAAAACGUGCCGCAAGUCACGCCGGUUCCUUUCAGACAGCGCAACCCAGCAUCACCAAGCAGAAGAACACUCAACCUGCACAGAUGGGAAUAGUCUGGUGCAAGGCCCUGGAAAUAUCUGCUGUUUAGGAUGCACCGCAUCAACUCCUCCACAUCUCCACUGCACCUGCUCCACCCGUUUGGCUGCAUGCUGUGAAAUCAGGUGCAAGAACUGCUCAGACUUUAAGUGUUACUAAUGGUUCCCAGCUCUUUUCGGGAGGACUGUUGGAUUCCCGGUGGACUUCUUGGAAUUGCAGAACCUUGCCUGUAAAACUUCAGAAUGCUGGCUAGCUUCAGCAGAGCAAGGCUAAAGUCUGAAACUGAAGAUCGGAGUUACCGUUCAAAUGCUAAGACAAUAAACACCCUUCUUUCAUGUGUCUGUGUAAUGCUUAUAUAAACUGAGCAGGCUACAUAAUUAUCUCAGAUUAGUUUACACUCAGCAGACAAAGCUUGCACAACUUGGGACUAUACUUCCAUUGGCUGAUCUCUAAAUUGUGUAUAUAUGACAUGACAGCCCAUGUGGUAAAGCAAUUUAGCAGGUAUAAUUGUUUACCAUAAUAAUUCAAAACGACAUGAAGGGGAAGGAAUGUAAUGUCAUUUCCGUGACCUCACGGCACAGCUAUGAACUGUUCGCCUUGGCGAGAGCUUGGGACCUGCUGAACCGAGAGGGAGCAGUAAGUCACGUUAAUACCGACUCCCCACGAGGGCCACUCCGGCAGUGGGUCAACAAACCUGAGCCGUUUUCUGUGAAAAGUCAGAGAUUUUCGAAAUAAUGAAAGCCUUUUUCAAAGCUCAGGAGAAAUUAAAUACCUUUGUGCCUUCCAUUUUCUGUGAGGCCGUUUUUGACUCUUAGGUGGUGUGAAGCCUUACGGGCUUUAAGCAAAAGAAGAGCGAUCUUAAUGCUAUGACUGGAGGGGGAAUUAAUUACUAAAAUAAUGCUAAUAUGGACCUCUGUGUCAAGCCUCCUGGGUCACAGCAAUUCUGGGAAAAGGGAUUCAGUUAAAAAAAAAAAAAUCCCUUCCACAUUGCCUGGAGAGCGAGCAUUUAUAUUGUCAGUUCAGUCGUAUAUCUAGGUAUAAGCUCGUACUGUAAGCCCUAAAAAAACCACAUGAGAUUCGUGCUGGAAAUGAUAAGCACAAGAUAAAGGUCACGUGAAAUUUGAUUACUUAUUUUAUAGUAGUUCCGGGAGAAUUUAUACUAAUCUCCUAAAAAAAUGUUUAACUACCUUGAAACCAUUAAAAAACACUACUGUUUUGAAACCACAGUACAACCCAGGGGGAAAAACCUUAGGCUUUGUUAUGUCAGAUAUGAUUUCAAUGUCAAUGCAAUGAUUCAAUAUUUGGAAACAUUUCUAAUUUCACUACAAUAACACAAUUCCCUUCAGUAAUAUAGGAUGGAUACAACUAGCUAACGAUUGUUUUCACUUAAGCGUAGCUUAAAUUAAAUUUCAAAAUGUAUUACUAUUACUAAUGUAUUACUUUAAUCUUUGACCAAAACGCAAUGGGGGAGAAUAUGUUAGUAAAUUGUUAGUAGUUUCAUGGUAUGUAUCAAUGUAUUUUUACUUAGCUUUUAGAGUCACCUUUAGCAUCGUUCAAAAUCCACUUAUUAUCACACCCCAAGAAUGACCUCCGUCAAACAGUAUAUACAACUACACAGGCCCAUAUGAACUCGGUCCCCAAUGCUUAUAUUCUUUACAAGGUUUUUUUGUCGA